AAUAAAAAUAAUGAUAAUAAAACAUGGCACGUAACAAAGCAUCCAAAUAUAUGAAGCAAACAUUGACAGAAUUAAAGGAAGAAAUAGAAAGUAAUACAAUGAUAGCAGGAGGUUUCAGUAUCCGACCUUCAGUGGAAGAACAACUAGGCAGAAAAUUACUAAGGAAACAGAAUUGGAACAAUACUAGACCAAUAAGAUCUAACAGACAUACAGAACACCUCACCCAACAUUGGUAAAAUACACAUUCUUAAGUGCAAUGGAAAAUUCUCCAGGAUAGAUCAUAUGUCACAAAACAAAUCUUAACAAAUUUAAAAAGAUGAAAUCAUACCAAGUAUUUUUUUUUUUUUUGACCAGGGGCACUUUACCACUGAGUUACAUCCCCAACCCUUUUUAUUUUUUAUAUUGAGACAGGGUCUCACUAAGUUUUAUUGCUAAGCUGGCCUUGAACUUGUAAUCCUCCUGCCUGAGCCUCCUGAAUUGCUAGAGUUACAGGUGUGCACUAUUGUGUUUUCUGAUCACAAUAGAAUAAAACUAGAAAUAACAAAAGGAAAUCUAAAAAAAUUCUAAAUCGUGGAAAUUAAACAGUACAUUCUUGAACAAACAAUGGACCAAAGAAGAAAUGAAAAGUGAAAUUUUAAAAAAAAUCUUUUGAUAAAUGAAAAUUUAACAUAUGGGAACUUAUGGGAUACAUCAAAAGCAGAAGGAAGAUUAUAGCAGUGAACACCUACAUUUUAAAAAAGUCUCAAAUGGACAACCUAACUAUACUUUAAGGAACUAGAAAAGAAAAACUCAACCAAAGUUAGCAAAAGGAAGGAAAUGAUAAAAAUUAGAACAGAAAUAAAUGAAAUUGAGACUAGAUUUCACCAAAACUGGAGAAAGAUACCACAAGGAAAGAAAAUGACAGGCUAAUAUCCUGACAAAUAUUAAUGCAAAAAUCCCAAUAAAAUGCUGGCAAACUUGACACCAUAUUAAAAGGAUUACACAUCACAACCAAUAGGGUUUUAUCCCGAUACAAAGAUGGUUCAAUAUACACAAAUCAAUACAUAUACCACUUUAACAGAAUAAGAACAAAAGUCACAUGAUCAUCUUAUUGAUCAGCUCAUUGAGGCAGAAAAAGCAUCUGACAUAAUUCAAUACCCUUUCAUGACAAAAACAGUAAAGUAGGAAUAGAAGGAAAAUUCCUCAAUCAAAUAAAGCCUAUAUAUGUAAAGCACAUAUUGACAUUAUAUUCAGUGGUGAAAAUGGAAAGUUUUCCCUCCAAAAUCAGGAUCAAGGAAAAGAUGUCUAUUCUCCAUUUCCAUUCAACAUAGUACUGAACAUUCUUGUUAGCAGGCAGAUAAGAAAAAUAAAGGUCAUCUAAAUUGUAAAGGAAGAAGUUAAAUUAUCUGUUCACAGAUGACAUUACUUUAUUUGUAGAAACACAGAGAAAUAAAUAAUUGCAGGAUAUGACAUCAAUAUGCAAAAAUCUGCUAAUUUCUAUACACUAAUAAUGAACAAUUUGAAAAGAAAAUUAAAGAAAUAAUCCCAUUACAAAAGCCCCCAAAAGAAUUAAAAUAUUUAAGAAUAAACUUUUUUUCCCCCUUUUUGCAGUACUGGGGAUCAAGUCCCUGUACCACUGAGCAACAUUCCCAGCCCUUUUAUUUUAAAUUUGAGAUAGGUUCUUGCUAAGUUGUCCAGUCUGGCUUAAAAUUUCUGAUACUUUUGCUUCAGUCUCCCAAGUAGGUGGGGUUAUAGGCUUGAGCCAUCAUGCCUGUCAGGAAAAAACUUUGGAAGGCAAAAAAUUCCCACUGAAAACUACAAAACAUUGCUGAAUUGGGGCUCUGGGUUUCAUCCCCAGCACUGAAAAAAAAAAAAAGAAAGAAAGAACACACAAAAAAUGGAAAGACAUUCUAUUCUAUGUUCAUAGAUUGGAAGACUUAAUAUUGGUAAAAUGUCCAUACCAUACAAAGCAAUCUACAUAUUUCAUGCAAUUCCUAUCAAGAUACCAAAGGCAUUUCAGCAGAGGUAGAUUAUUCAUACAGAAUGUCAAAGGACCCUGAAUAGCAAAACAAACCUGAAGAAAAAGAAAAAAGCUGAAGCUUCUCACUUCUUAGUUUCAAAAAAUAUUAUGAUAUAGUAAUGAACAAUAUGAUACUGGCAUAAAGAGAGAUAAAGAUCAAUGGAACAGAGUAAUGAACUCUGAGGUAAGUCCUCUUAUAUAUAUGCUCAAACAAUCUUUGACAAGGAUGUCAAGACUAUACAUGGAAAAAGGAUGUUUUCCAUCAACAAAUAGCAAUGGGAAACUGCAUGUCUACAUGCAAAAGUGAAGUUGGACCUUUCCAAACCUAUGUUAAGAAAAAUCAACAAAAUGAAGACCUAAACAUAAGAGCUGAAACUAUCCCACAUAAUUACUAAUGAAAGGAAAUAUAGUUAGUGUGUGUUUAUGGUAAGAUCAAAAAAUACAGAUUAUAAAGAAGAAAGCAUUUCUAGGAAUAAAAAAAAAAUAGCCCCAUAAUGAUGCAUUGCAAUUCACCGGAAUAUAUAAUUCUGAAAUUAUAAACACCCAAUAACAAAGGCUUGAAAGUUAAGUACUGCCUUGUUGCCUCUGGGUGGGAGCUCUAAGGAUCUGGGUUUGAUUUGCUACAUGCAACUCUUCCUUCAGAACUGCUCCUUAUCAGCCUAGGUCCUGGGUGAGAAUGAUGUAAAUUCAUGGUGACAAGGAGCAUGAGCAAGAAAUAUACCUUUGAUGAUUUUUUUUGUUUCAAUAGCUUUAUUGAGUAUAAUUGAUAUAAUGAACUGCAUGUAUUUAAGUAUUUGAGGUAUAAUUUUAUAAGUUUUGAUAUAGGUAUGCAUCAGAAUCUUAGGAAAUGAAUGGAGAGGCCUCAGUAGUUUUUAAAGAACUGCAUGAAAAUACCUCAAGAGGUUCCAGCAUCCACUCAAAUUGUGAUAGAAGUUUCUUUCUUACAGCCUGGAUGAGGUUGCAGACUUUGAUCAGAUGAAUUACAGAAGACUGUAAUUUGAAUCUGAGAGGAAGAUAUGCUUUAAAAGUCCUCUGUUGUCAUGGUGACUACAAAAGGGCACAUUGUAACACAUGUGGCUCUAAUAGACUCAUCCUGGAAGCCAGCAAAGCUCAAGUCCUGCUCUCCAGGAUCAAAUUUCUGAUUAGUAAUGACCUUAUUGUGUUAAUAAAUUGUUAACUCAAUAGCCUCAACUUGUUUAAGAUGUCAACCUUAGCCUUCCUGAGAAAGAAACCAUAUCAGAGCCAGGAAUUGUUGAGCAAGUCACUUCAUCUUGGCUACCCUGAGAUGGUAACUCUAUACUGGAUGUGAAUUGUUGAGUCAGUAAUUUGAACUCUCUGGUUAUGUUAGACCUUCUUCCUCAGUGACUAAGGGGAUUUGUAAACCUGAAAAACUUAGAGGUAAAUAUAGAGAAAAAAAUACAACCUGUCAUAUUAAUAAUUUUGUGUUCCAAAUAGCUUUAUGUGUGUAUGUAUGUGCUCCAUACUUAAAGGAUAAUUUAAAAAUACAGCAUAUAGAAUAUCUGAUAGAUCAGACUCAUUUGAUAGAUUAUAUCAAAGAUGUAUAUGAACAUUUACGUCAAUAAAGAGCAUUGGAA
rnacentral:lncRNA from 1 species